UCGAGGAACAGGUGAAGGUGAGGGCGAUGGAGCUGAAACAUCUGUUCAAGAAAGGCAUCAAAGUUGUCAGCAAAUCUUGUAAGAAAGGAUGGUCCAAAGUCAAGAACCUUCGUCGUUAGAUUUCAUUCUUUCUUUCUUUCUAAGUUUUGUUGUUCUUGUUCUUGUUCUUAUAUAUUGAUUUGAUGGGUUCUUUUUAAAUUGAUAAGUCUUUUGUGUUUCAUUCUUUCUUUUUUUUAUCAAAUCUUUCUUUCUUCCCCUCUAACUUUGUUUUUCAAGAUUUGUGGAUGAUGAUGUUUAACAUAUUUUAUUAGACCUUUCUUCUUCAAUUAUGUAAUCAUGAGAUCUAAUUAUUGAAAACCCUCUCCUUCAAAUUUCAGCUUUAGUUUUUAAGAUAAGUCUAUGAAAAGUAUGAACCCAGAUUUUUUAAAAUUUGAACACCAAAAGAAAAGAAAAGAAAAAAAAAUUGAAAUAUCAAAGAAAAUAUAAUUUAUUAGCUGUUAAAAUAUAUGAAAAAGAAAGAAAAGAGAAUGACAAACCCAAUUCCAAAAGCGUGGAGUUUGAGUUGUAAUGGGCCGAUUUAUGGGCCUUUACCCAAUUUGGAGAUUCGGUCCAACACUAAAUCACAAAUUUUGCUACAUAUUUAUAAAUAGAGAUUUCUAGGGUUUACGUUUCAAUUGAGGAAGAAGAAACUACACUUUGGUGGCGGAGAGAGCUGCUUUCAGAUAUAUCUCUCAAAGAUUUACACUUUUGUUUUCGUAGCAUCAUGUGUGAAUCUUUCUUCUUCUUCUUCUCUUUUGUUGUGCUUUGCAAAAGGCUUAGCCUUUCUUUCUUGUGUGUUGUUUGUUACUAAUCUUUAUGAGUUCUGGUUAGAUAAUGAUAUAUGAUCCAUUGGCGUUUUUAGUUUUUGAUCAUAUCUUAGUAUCUUACUGGUUGAAGAAGGCCUAUGAUGAUUCAAAAGUUUGCCUACAUUGUUUGAGUAAAUCCAUGAUAUAACUCUUCUUACAAAAAUGUUUUCUGAGGCCUUUGUAUAGUUUUGUUUUGUUUUGUCUUGUUUGAGAAUGAUUAUAUUUUGAGUAUUAUUGAUGAACGAGGCUGGCUGGUGAUGAUGUUUCAUAUCUUUGCCUACAUUGCCUGAUCAAAGCUUUUUUAUGGGCUUUGAACAAGUGAGUGAAUGAUACUCUUCUGAAGCCUCCUCAUUAUGUUCUGCUACUAAUACUAAUUUUCCUAGGGAGACUUGUGUUGUUGUUGUUGAACUGAGAAAUAAAGCCUUUAUUAGCCUCAACUCCUUCGUCUCUCUUGGUGAAAUCUAAUUUGGUAAUGUGUCAUGUUUCCAUUUUACAUGUGUUUAAAUUUCAACUUUCACCUAAGAGACUACUAAACUAGGUGAAGAUUGAUUGAUGCAGAAGCAUAUCAAAGCAAUUUUUGA
rnacentral:lncRNA from 1 species